CUUCCUUCCUUCCUUCCUCUCUCACUUUUUGUCUCUUUCUUUUCUUUCAUCCUAUCUAUCUAAAUGGGACUUAUUAUGAGGAAUCGGCUCACAAGAUUAUGGAGGCUGAGAAAGACCCAUGAUCUGCCGUCUGCAAGCUUGAGACCCAGCAAAGCCAGUGGUGUAAUUCAUUUGGGGUCUGAAGGCCUGAGACCCAGGGGAGCUGAUGAUAUACAUCCCAGUCUGGGGGCUUGACGUGAUGAGAUGAGAUGUCCGAGCUCUAGCAGUGAGAAGGAGGAGAUGAGGGCUCUCCAUAUUGUGACCUUCCGCUGAAUAUUCCAAGCUGCGGGAGAUCUUCAUAUAUUAAGAUCUUCCUUUACCAUCGUUCGUCAGCCAACUGUGAUGUUCCACGGCAAGCCUUGACCAGCUUUGAGGACAGCUCUGGAGCGCUCCUGUGGGGUCGUGAUGGUCACAUCCCCGCCACUACAUCGUAAGACUUCCGUUCCUAGUCAUUGCCAGCUAUUACAUUUUGGGCCACCUUUGGAGACAUUGGAUACCUCUGAACACAGUUCACCAGAACAGCAUCAAGGAGUGCAACGUGCAAAGGAGUAGAAAGCGAAGGGAAAGACCCCUUCUUAUCGUCAGACCAGACUCUCAUGUGCUUUUGUGGAAUAAGUAUUUUGUACCAGGACUGGACAACAAAGUGGGUUCCUGAUGAGAGAAGAUAAAAGGAAUGACCGCAUUGGCCAGGAUGGGGAUAUCAAAGGCCUUCUCUUCCCUCUGGCCAGCUGCUCAGCUCCUUGGAGCAAAACAACCCGUCUGUCUCUGGGAUUUGUGUUAGACCUGAUCCUGCUGUGGCUUUUCCCAGACUGUGUAAGGCAAGUUCCCUGCUUAUUAUCCUUGUUUAGACUCAGCUAAACUCAUAAACAGGACCUCUUAGGUUGCUGCUAUUGUUUUGAAACUUUCUGGGCUUUGAAGAUGGUCUGUAAUUGAUUUAUUAAUUACAGAAACUCGAAUUCUUGGUUCAUUAACCCUCACAGCUCCCAACUCUUGGUGCAAAUGGAAUAACUUAGUUGAAGUGCAGCUGAAUUAUCUAAACCUGCAAAAGAUUUUAAAUGGUUGCUGUUUGACCUUGUGGUAUAUGUGUGGCAAACUGUUCUCUGAACCCCAUACAGGACAUGUAAGAAAGGAGAUUUGAAAUCAAAACUGUCCUGGGAGUGAGUCGUAUGGUCACUUUAUGUAUAUUGCAUAUUACUUGGUUAACGAAGUCAUUUGCCUAAACUUGUUUUGCUUAGACAGAUAUUAUAACUACUUGUAUUCUAUAACCCCACACCAAUUUGAAGGUAUGGCAAACAGUUGUGGGUAAGAGAAAGACGGGAAGAGACAAACUGGUUCAGGUGUUCUGAAUGAAUGUUUUGGAGAUACAG